rnacentral:rRNA from 1 species
AUUGAACGCUGGCGGCAGGCUUAACACAUGCAAGUCGAGCGGAGUGAUGGUGCUUGCACUAUCACUUAGCGGCGGACGGGUGAGUAAUGCUUAGGAAUCUGCCUAUUAGUGGGGGACAACAUCUCGAAAGGGAUGCUAAUACCGCAUACGUCCUACGGGAGAAAGCAGGGGAUCACUUGUGACCUUGCGCUAAUAGAUGAGCCUAAGUCGGAUUAGCUAGUUGGUGGGGCAAAGGCCUACCAAGGCGACGAUCUGUAGCGGGUCUGAGAGGAUGAUCCGCCACACUGGGACUGGGACACGGCCCAGACUCCUACGGGAGGCAGCAGUGGGGAAUAUUGGACAAUGGGGGGAACCCUGAUCCAGCCAUGCCGCGUGUGUGAAGAAGGCCUUAUGGUUGUAAAGCACUUUAAGCGAGGAGGAGGCUCUUUUGGUUAAUACCCAAGAUGAGUGGACGUUACUCGCAGAAUAAGCACCGGCUAACUCUGUGCCAGCAGCCGCCGUAAUAC